rnacentral:misc_RNA from 1 species
GAUGAAGAACGUAGCGAAAUGCGAUAAGUAAUGUGAAUUGCAGAAUUCAGUGAAUCAUCGAAUCUUUGAACGCACAUUGCGCCCGCUAGUAUUCUGGCGGGCAUGCCUGUCUGAGCGUCAUUUCACCAAUCCCCCGGGCAUUCGUGUCGGGGGGCUGUUGGGGAUCGCCGACCGCCCUAGGGCGGGUGACGUCCCCUAAACUUAGUGGCAGCCUCGCCGCGGCCUCCCCUGCGUAGUAAACACUCUCGCGGGCGGAGUCACAGCGAAGGAUAGCCGUAAAACCCCCAACUUCUUAAUGGUUGACCUCAGAUCAGGUAGGAAUACCCGCUGAACUUAAGCAUAUCAAUAAGCGGAAGGA